UUUUUGUGAUGAACGUAUUAUUUCAGUUCUGCUUCCGAACUACAAUGUGGAAGUUAUAUACCGCUUACCUUUGUCUGAUAU
rfam:Cochliobolus sativus ND90Pr unplaced genomic scaffold COCSAscaffold_1, whole genome shotgun sequence.